rnacentral:misc_RNA from 1 species
AUGAUUGGCCUCAGGGCCUUAUCGAUUAUUAAUCCCAACACCUCUGUGAACCGUUUUCGGCCCUCGGGCUGAUCUUCUUACAAUACAAACAUUGUGUAAUGAGCGUCCUGUUAUCUUAACAAAAC